rnacentral:tRNA from 1 species
AGUGCGGUUGGGCAGUUGCAGCUCGUCGGGCUCAUAACGAAGGUCAUCAGUUCGAGUCUGGUCCCGCUACCU